GACGAACGCUGGCGGCGUGCUUAACACAUGCAAGUCGAACGGAAAGGCCCUGUUCUUGUGGGGUGCGCGAGUGGCGAACGGGGGAGUAACACGUGAGUAACCUGCCCUUUACUUCGGGAUAACUUCAGGAAACAGGGGCUAAUAUCGGACAUGAGCUCCUGCUGCAUGGGGGUGGUGGGAAAAUUUCGGCGGUUGGGGAUGGACUGGCGGUUGAUCAGCGUGUUGGCGAGGUGGUGGCGUAGCAAGGCGCUGACGGGUAGCCGGCCUGAGAGGGUGACCGGCCACAUUGGGACUGGGGUAGGAGCCGGACUGCUACGGGAGGCAUGAGUGGGAGAUUUUGCGCGCUGGGCGGAAGCCUGAUGCAGCAACGCCGGGUGCUGGAUGACGGCCUUCGGGUUGUAACCCGCUUUCGCCUGUGACGCAGCGUGAGUGACGGUAAUGGGUAAAGAAGCAACGGCUAACUACGUG
rnacentral:rRNA from 1 species